GGUCGCGUAGCGUAAUGGUUAACGCGCUAGUUUCCGGUGAAAAUCGUAUAGCUAGAGAUUGCGAGUUCGAGUCUCGCCGUGAUCG